rnacentral:rRNA from 1 species
AACGAACGCUGGCGGCGCGUCUUAAGCAUGCAAGUCGAACGGCAAGGAAGUGCUUGCACUUCCCUAGAGUGGCGGACUGGUGAGUAACACGUGGGUGACAUACCUUUUAGUUGGGGGAUAGCUAUUAGAAAUAGUAGAUAAUACCGAAUGUGACCAUUACAGUUAGAGUGUAAUGAGGAAAGGAGCUAAGGCUCCGCUAGAAGAUUGGCCCGCGGCCCAUUAGCUAGUUGGUGAGGUAACGGCCCACCAAGGCAAUGAUGGGUAUCCGGCCUGAGAGGGUGAUCGGACACAUUGGGACUGAGAUACGGCCCAGACUCCUACGGGGGGCAGCAGUGGGGAAUAUUGCACAAUGGGCGAAAGCCUGAUGCAGCGACGCCGCGUGGGCGAAGAAGGCCUCGGUUGUAAAGCCUGUCUGGAGGGACGAAGUAAUGACGGUACCUCCGGAGGAAGCCACGGCCUAACGUACGUGCCAGCAGCCGCGGUAAACAUAACUCGUA